rnacentral:rRNA from 1 species
ACGGGUGCGUAACACGUAUGUAACCUACCCAUAUCAGGGGGAUAGCCUCUCGAAAGAGAGAUUAAGCCCGCAUAAAAUCAGAUUAUGGCAUCAUAGACUGAUCAAAUAUUUAUAGGAUAUGGAUGGGCAUGCGGAACAUUAGCUAGUUGGUAAGGUAACGGCUUACCAAGGCUACGAUGUUUAGGGGAUCUGAGAGGAUGACCCCCCACACUGGUACUGAGACACGGACCAGACUCCUACGGGAGGCAGCAGUAAGGAAUAUUGGUCAAUGGACGGAAGUCUGAACCAGCCAUGCCGCGUGCAGGAAGACGGCCCUACGGGUUGUAAACUGCUUUUGUACCGGAAUAAACCUCGAUUCGUGAAUCGAGCUGAAUGUACGGUAAGAAUAAGGAUCGGCUAACUCCGUGCCAGCAGCCGCGGUAAUACGGAGGAUCCGAGCGUUAUCCGGAUUUAUUGGGUUUAAAGGGUGCGUAGGCGGCCUAUUAAGUCAGGGGUGAAAGACGGUAGCUUAACUAUCGCAGUGCCUUUGAUACUGAUAGGCUUGAAUGUACUUGAGGUAGGCGGAAUGUGACAAGUAGCGGUGAAA